CACGUAGGCACCAAGCGUUGUCCGGAUUUAUUGGGCGUAAAGAGCUCGUAGGUGGUUCGGUAAGUCGGGUGUGAAACCUCCAGGCUCAACCUGGAGACGCCACCCGAUACUGCUGUGACUGGAGUCCGGUAGGGGAGCGUGGAAUUCCUGGUGUAGCGGUGAAAUGCGCAGAUAUCAGGAGGAACACCAGCGGCGAAGGCGGGUCUCUGGACAGUUCCUGACGCUGAGGCACGAAGGCCAGGGGAGCAAACGGG
rnacentral:rRNA from 1 species